UGGAAAUAAUUGAAGUGAAAGGCGGAAGUAGUAUUUAAUUAUGCCAUAUUAUCAUUAGCCUUUCAGACACAAACAUCUGUAGAAUAAACUUGACCCAUAUAUAUAGGCAUCAGGCCUUAUACUAGUUUAAUAUUGGUAAAAUGUCAUAUAAUUGACUCAUCAGAUCUAACCUAUCAGCAGAGGGAGGAAGUGAUGUAAACUCCCUAGGGGUAUAAAUAGGCCUCAGAAAUCUCUUCCAAAUCACUUGCCAUACAGGAAAGGAGGCAGCAACACAGGUCCUGAAUCUCUUAAUUUCUAGUUGGAAGUUAUAUCUUACCGGCCACUGUGGAGCUCAGAACCUACUUGUUGUCGAACUCUAAAGAAUUUUUAUUUUAGAAGAUGCACCUUAUUGGAUUUUAAGGAGCUUUUUAGCCCAACUUGUUAUCAUCGUGCUGAACUUUAAGUAAGUUAUAACAAAGUUCAGUUUUUAAAUAUGCCUAUUAAGUGCUUUG